AGAAAUUAUAAAUGGUAAAUUUUUUGUCUCCUCAUUGAAAAUUAGUAUGCCUAUUUACCGUAUCAGGCAACAUUCCAUCCAUUGAUAUCAUAGUUUUUAUUUGUUAUUAAUCAUAAAAUGAAGAUGAUCUCCUUGGAGAUGAUGCAUACUAGCAUUGGAUACACAACUUUGCCAUCUAAGUCUAUGGUUCCUAAGUUGUGUUGAAGGAUUGCUUAUGCAGUUAUGUUCAUGGCGAGGUUUUAAAAAAUGCAAUAAUGCUAAAGAUUUUUCUCCUCCAUAUGUAAUGGUUAUUAGAUUAAUUGAUAGUUGAUUAUUCACAGAGUGGAACAUUUGAUAUGUUAUUUGUGAUAUUUUUGGUGGUUGGGUUAAUUUAUUACUUCUUUUCCUGAGACUUAUUGUUGGAUCACAGAGACAGUUUAGUGGUUCAUAUUUUUAAAUUUAGUCAAUGGUAUUAUAGGUGAACUAGAACUAGACAGAGCUUAUGACAUUUUAUAUUUAUAUUGCUGCACUUGGCCUUAUACAGUUUUGAGAAUCUUGAUGGUAACUCUUUACUUGUCCUACUUCUCAAACAGGAUACAGGUCGGCCAUUGCCAA
rnacentral:misc_RNA from 1 species